rnacentral:rRNA from 1 species
GAUGAACGCUGGCGGCGUGCUUAACACAUGCAAGUCGAACGGAAAGGCCCAAGCUUGCUUGGGUACUCGAGUGGCGAACGGGUGAGUAACACGUGGGUGAUCUGCCCCGCACUUCGGGAUAAGCCUGGGAAACUGGGUCUAAUACCGGAUAGGACAGUGGAUUGGAUGCCAUUGUGGAAAGUUUUUUCGGUGUGGGAUGAGCUCGCGGCCUAUCAGCUUGUUGGUGGGGUAAUGGCCUACCAAGGCGUCGACGGGUAGCCGGCCUGAGAGGGUGUACGGCCACAUUGGGACUGAGAUACGGCCCAGACUCCUACGGGAGGCAGCAGUGGGGAAUAUUGCACAAUGGGCGCAAGCCUGAUGCAGCGACGCCGCGUGGGGGAUGACGGCCUUCGGGUUGUAAACGCCUUUCGCUAGGGACGAAGCGUUAUGUGACGGUACCUAGAGAAGAAGCACCGGCUAACUACGUG